AUGUUUGAGGCUAGUACUAUUCAGAUCUGGGAGUUGUUUCUCUGUUUCGAGCGUCCACUGGACCAGGCAACACUCAAUACUAAACAGAUGCAGUUUGACUACAAGGACUUGCAGUUUGGUCCAUGCUACGUACCGCAACAAAGUGAAGAUUUUCAGUUUUAUCUGGAUCGAACAAAAUUUCUGGGUUGCAUUCCUAUUUCUGAUAAAUUACAGGGAAUUAUUCAUAUUAUGCAUAUGUCAAUGUUUUUGAGUCAAGAAGAAUUUAAAGGCAGUGGCUGUGCUUCAAUCAACUUUCACACUAGCAAUGCAUGGGAACGGUGCUCCAAUCUCCUUGGGAAUUGCAUAAGGAUACUUCCAGUGCAGCUCUCAUGCUCGUGGUUUUUGAAACGGGGCAAAACUGAUUCAGGUUUCAAUGGUCAUGACAAGCUCCUUCACAGCAAGCAACAAUUGGGUGCUCUAAGUACAACACUUCCAAGUAGUGUCUAUAUUCAGUUCGUGCAGUUUUGGCCAUUAUUGUCUUUUGCUCCAGCUGGUAUCACGAUGCAAUGGCAGUGGGACAAGCAUCAAUCGCGGGACAAAAAUUCACAACAUACUUUUAUGUUGCCUCGUCCCCUUUCUGAACCAAUAUUAUGUGAGAUACAUCAGUUAGUGGCGACCACCUUGAGCAAUUGUGGGAUCCCGGAGGCCUUGCAAGCUAUAUAUGCAGUACAGGUGCAUUGA
rnacentral:rRNA from 1 species